ensembl:lncRNA
CUCUGACUGCAAGUGGACUUAGAGAACAAAAAUAACUUAAACCAGUUGCAAAAUACUGCUCUAUGAUCUUCUGAGUUCUGUGUGAGAAGAAUACUCCAGAAGACAUAAGUCACGAAGCCCCAGAGCUCAGCCACUGCAUGAGGAAAGCUUUCGGAGUAUGGUGAGAAGUAGCCUUGUCUGUUAGUAUGGCUGCGCAACAUGCCUCCUCUGGGGUACCUGAUACCACCAACCAGAAGGAUGAAGAGGUCCCUGUUGUUUAAAAAGAAAAAGAGCAAUAACAACAACAAAAAGCAACUAGUGGGGACUGCAGGCUAUGAGGAAUUCCUCAUCAAUCUAGACUUGUAUGGGCUCCUUACUCAUCUGCCAUGUGAGAUCAGGAACUGGGGGCUGAGUGUGGCAGCCUUUGCAGAGUGCCUUGGCUGCCAAUGUCUUUCACAUGCUGGAAAGGAGAAGAAAGAUGUGCUGAUUUCUAACACAAGCAAGCCGAAGUCCUUCUGGCACGUACAGUUAUGGAGAGAAAUGGCAACACUCAAAUUGCCUGCUGGAAAUCUCUGUCCAUGAUUCAUAUGUUUCUUGGGAUGCUUCUGGCCUAUGGGGGGGGGAGGAGAGGGGGGGAGGGAAAGCCCUUAUUGCUCGCCUCUGUUAUUAAGACUAAUUUCAGUUGCCUGGGAGGACAAGAACCGUAGAGAACAG